rnacentral:rRNA from 1 species
UCUCACAAGCUAAACCAGGUCAGGCCAGAACAGUACUUGGAGGGAAAACCCCAAGAUCACUUCGGUGCUGUGAGAA